UACGUAGGGUGCAAGCGUUAAUCGGAAUUACUGGGCGUAAAGCGUGCGCAGGCGGUUGUGCAAGACAGAUGUGAAAUCCCCGGGCUUAACCUGGGAAUUGCAUUUGUGACUGCACGGCUAGAGUGUGUCAGAGGGGGGGUAGAAUUCCACGUGUAGCAGUGAAAUGCGUAGAUAUGUGGAGGAAUACCGAUGGCGAAGGCAGCCCCCUGGGAUAACACUGACGCUCAUGCACGAAAGCGUGGGGGAGCAAACAGG
rnacentral:rRNA from 1 species